rnacentral:rRNA from 1 species
UACGGAGGGUGCAAGCGUUGUCCGGAAUCACUGGGCGUAAAGGGCGCGUAGGCGGCUAUGUAAGUCAAUUGUGAAAUCCCGGGGCUCAACUCCGGGGCCGCAGGUGAGACUGUGUGGCUAGAGCAUGGUAGAGGCGAGUGGAAUUCCUGGUGUAGCGGUGAAAUGCGCAGAUAUCAGGAGGAACACCGAUGGCGAAGGCAGGUCUCUGGGCAUUAACUGACGCUGAGGCUCGAAAGCAUGGGGAGCGAACAGG